UACAGAGGGUGCGAGCGUUGUUCGGAAUUACUGGGCGUAAAGCGCGCGCAGGCGGCUUUUUAAGUCCGUUGGUGAAAUGCCGGGGCUCAACCCCGUGCCCGCCAGGGAUACUGGAGAGCUGGAGACGAGUAGAGGCAAGCGGAAUUCCGGGUGUAGCGGUGGAAUGCGUAGAGACCCGGAAGAACACCGGAGGCGAAGGCGGCUUGCUGGGCUCGGUCUGACGCUGAGGCGCGAAAGCGUGGGGAGCGAACAGG
rnacentral:rRNA from 1 species